rnacentral:rRNA from 1 species
UCGAGAGUUUGAUCCUGGCUCAGGAUGAACGCUAGCGGCAGGCUUAACACAUGCAAGUCGAGGGGUAUAGUUCUUCGGAGCUAGAGACCGGCGCACGGGUGCGUAACGCGUAUGCAAUCUACCUUUCACAGAGGGAUAGCCCAGAGAAAUUUGGAUUAAUACCUCAUAGUAUGUGAGAAUCGCAUGGUUUUCACAUUAAAGUCACAACGGUAAAGAUGAGUAUGCGUCCCAUUAGCUAGAUGGUAAGGUAACGGCUUACCAUGGCAACGAUGGGUAGGGGUCCUGAGAGGGAGAUCCCCCGACACUGGUACUGAGACACGGACCAGACUCCUACGGGAGGCAGCAGUGAGGAAUAUUGGACAAUGGGGCGCAAGCCCUGAUCCCAGCCAUGCCGCGUGC